rnacentral:lncRNA from 1 species
AUGGGGAUAAAAGAACCUGCUGUUUUGAAGUGUCAGAUUUUAUGCUGUGUUGCAGUGAGUUAUUUUUAUUUAUCUUCCUUUCUAUGUUUUUCUGAGGCAUAUACAAAAGUAAUCUUCAAAGAGCUAUUUGUACUAUUUGGAUUUUUUUUUUCACGCUUAAGCCUUGGCUUGAAGAACCAUAUGGAAAACACAUAUAUAGCCUACAUCCUGGACAUCAUACACAGACUACACACCUCUGAUAGAUUUUUAAUCAUUUUUUUCACCUUCCAGAACACAAAAGAAGUCUAUCAUUCCAAAUCACCAGAUUUUAAAAGGCAAAUUGUGAGACUACGGAUAGAAGAUGGGAGCCAUUUCUACAAGAUUGUGUUUUGAGUUGAUAAGGAGUGCUUGCUGUUUGUUGAUUAUAAUAAUCAUACUGGACAUUGAGUGAAUCUGAUUUAUGAUUUUGGUAAUCUAUAAUUGUUUUGUAUCAUAGGUAUGUAUGUGGACAUUCAGUCCAUGAUACCCUUCUGAAGGAACACAAGAGAAGAUGUGCAGAUUACAAAAGAAGUUUUAACAGAAAAUUUGACUCUGUGGGUUAGGAUGGGCUUUUUUUCAAAUUGCUUCUUUCAACAAAGUGACUAAAUUACAUUUGAAUUUUCACUCUGGGGGAUAGCAUAUAGUUUCAGAUGUUUCCUGAAGUUCUUAACUUCAGUGAAGAUCAGAUCCUUUAAAGCCUUUUAAAAUGUGGUUACUAUUGUUUAAAAACUUCCACAUCUAAAACAUGGCCCAAUGUCCUAAAUAGAAUGCUACUCCAUUUUUUUGAGAGAGAAACAGAUGUAAAAAUCAUCUGAAUUUUGUUAGUCUUCUGAAUGGGUAAUCAGGAGGCAGCUCAUAGUAAGGGUGGAAUUGGCUGUGAUCUGUUGAGCAUGGUAGGGGAGAAAGAUAGUGGGCAAUUCCUUUUUUCUUAGGAAUGCAUGUAAAAUUUGAAUCAUUGCUAUCCUUAGUUUCUCUAAACAGAACAGUUACCUUCUAUUAUAGUCCUUACCAGCUUUUCUUCUAAAGCAAGGGAUCUUUACUCUCAAAUAUAAAAGUAUGCUGUAAAAUCACAAGAGCUCCUUUAUGGAAUACAAAAAUGAUAUUUUUUGUCAUUUUUAGUAAAACUAAUAGAAGUUAUUGGAAUUAUGUCAAUCUGUGUUCUGGAAAAAUACAGUAUUUUUUGCUUUUUAUUUUUUGAUGAAAUAUAAUUCUUUUCAGUAAUAAUUUAAUUAGGAUCAGGCAUGCAUCCUCCUUGCAUUGGGUUUUGUUACUCAUGUUGUAACAAUUCCAGAGAGAAAUUAAGUGCACAUACUUCCUGGACAACUAAGGAUCACAGAGAAAGAUUUAAUCCAUCCUCAAAAGCAGAUCCACUUCUGCCCUGGAAUUACUUUGUCUCAGCCAAAGUAAGUCACUUGGAAUGCAACUGGUGCAGUAGGAGACUGAGGUUCCUAAAAUUCCAUUUUGAAUUCUUUAAAACGCGUAAUCUCAGUCUAAAGAUGAUCUGACUCCACUCUAAACAAUUAGGAGUAUAUUGCAAGCAGAAUAAGUUUGGAGUCAUGUAAUAAAUUUUACGUGAAUUUCA